rnacentral:lncRNA from 1 species
AACUGGACCUCUCCUGGGACAGCAUGUGCUCUGCAUGGAAUAACAAGGUUAAAUGGACAAGGCUGAAUGGCCCUGUGAUGGGGAGUGCCUUUAAGCCACAUGACGGAAAUGAAACAGGAGCCAUAAUGACCAUGACUGGAGGAGAAUCAGAUUCUGGCCUGGCCUGGUUCUGUGAGAUACCUUAAAUCAUACUUUCUGUAGCAUCCCUUAAAGGUGGGUAGAGAGAAGGAGAGAGUUAAGUGUGGGUGCAGUCAUCCUCAGGAUGGUUGAUCUCUAAAUCUAUUCUUGGGCAAAAGUUUAGAGAAAAGCUGAAUCACUCAGCCCAGAGGAAGCCUGAGGAGGCAUAAAGAAGUCUUGGAAAUCCCCUGAAAAAAAGAAUCAGAUAUCACCUCCAUAGGAAGCUGUCUCUCUGCUUUAGAGCAAGAAUCAACAAACUUUUUCUGUAAAGAGCCAGAUAUCUGAGUCUUCUCAGAAGCAGAUGUCAAGACAAGAUUAUACACUCAAGAUAUAUUGGGUAACAUCUGUGAAACAUAAUGGAGAAGAAACAGGAGAAAGCAGGGAGAACUUUUGCACCAUGAUGCAGGACUGGCACCUCAGAAGGAGAGUGGGAAGGAAAGAGGAUUGAGUAGGAAAAGCCUUAAAUUUCAGCACCAUUCUAAGAAAGCUUCAGCAAGACUAUUGGGUAAUCCUUGAGCCAGUGACCAGUUGAGAGUUCUACACGUCACAGUAAUGAACUUGCAUUAGUGCCUCCAUGGUGCUUUUAAUCAUCGGCUGGCUGCCACCUGGGAAACUUGGCCUUUGUGGAUCCAGAGGGUCACCAAUUGGUAUCAUGACUCAUUUAUGCUCCCCACAGAUGAGAUCUGACCAUUUCAUGGCCUCCAACCCUUGGUCAAGUUGAGUAUCAGAUUAUAUGAUAUUGUCUGUUUGCACUUCAUAUUCUGUAAAUUUUCUAUGCAUUUUCUUUUCCCAGAUUUCUAUUAGAUUGACUUUUUUCUUUCAAAUUCAUAAGAGCUUUGUUUGUGUAUAAAAACACAAACUCCAUAUUUUGUCAUAUAUACCACAAAUAUUUUCUCUCAGCUUACCAUUUAUCUUUAGAUUUUGUAUGUGUGGUAUUUUUUUUGUUUUACAACUUCUUAACAUUUUGAGCUGUUUAAAUAUGUUUCCCUAACUUUUCCCCCUAAAUCAUGCAUUAUACAAAAUAUUCUCUUAAAUUUUCUUCUAAUGUCUUACAGUUUUGUUUACACUUAUAUCUGUAAUUCAUUUAGAUUUUUUUUUUUUUUUGGUGUAUGUAUACCCAAUAAAGUAGGAGCUUGAAUUUGUUUUCUUCUAGCUGGAUAGCCAGCAUAUGAGUAUUACUCAUUAAAAUAUCACUCUUUUCCCAUGGUAUUGGAAUGCCAUCUUUAUUCUGGUUAAGCUGAGAUUCCCUAGGAACAUGUAAUUUUGAUAUCCUUUAGUACAAAUAUUCAUUUCAGUGCCUGGAAGAGAACAAAACAUUCAGCUCUUUCUGAGAAAACAAAUGAUACUAGGUUGAUACUUGUGUGAAGCAAGUGCCAAUUCAAGCGUUAGUAUAAGAUUGCCAGGCUUAAUAUAGGUACUGUUUCUAUUUUUUUUAAAAAGAAA